rnacentral:rRNA from 1 species
AUUGAACGCUGGCGGCAUGCCUUACACAUGCAAGUCGAACGGCAGCACGGGAGCAAUCCUGGUGGCGAGUGGCGAACGGGUGAGUAAUAUAUCGGAACGUGCCCAGUCGUGGGGAUAACGUAGCGAAAGCUACGCUAAUACCGCAUACGAUCUAUGGAUGAAAGCGGGGGAUCGCAAGACCUCGCGCGAUUGGAGCGGCCGAUAUCAGAUUAGGUAGUUGGUGAGGUAAAGGCUCACCAAGCUGACGAUCUGUAGCUGGUCUGAGAGGAUGACCAGCCACACUGGGACUGAGACACGGCCCAGACUCCUACGGGAGGCAGCAGUGGGGAAUUUUGGACAAUGGGCGCAAGCCUGAUCCAGCAAUGCCGCGUGCAGGAUGAAGGCC